GAGUUCUGUAUAAGGUGUCUUCUUAAAUCAUACUACACUGAAUUAAUAUAGAAUACGAAUUCGUAUAUUAAUCGUGUAGUUUAGUAAUCACGAAGAGAGAGAGAGGAGAGUAAUGUGUGUGUUGACCGCAUGGGAAGAAGAGAGAGAUGUAGGUUGAAUCUGAAACCAGGACGUGUGGGCGUGAUUCUUCCCUUUCCCACCCAUCCCCCGCGGAUCCCGCUGACACCCGACCCGACCCGAUCCGGGUGGGUUUACAUCGGACUAACCACUCGCAUCUCACGUCUUUUUGUCUUCGCUUGAAAUCCAAUCAGGAUGGGCCAUGUGGCUCUGAAUCCCAUGUUAAGAUAUUCUACACUAAUUACUCUUUGGAAAAACAAAAUCUGCAACCAUUAAUUCACUUGGAUCAUUACUCACUAAAGCCUAAUUAACAUGUUAUGUAACCCUUUUCUUUGUAGAUAUCAAGAAAUUUGAGAAUAACUAGACAUUUGGACUGUUGUGUGUAUAAUCUCUUAGCUCAGUGAAUUGCAUAUGCUCAU